rnacentral:ncRNA from 2 species
UCAUCUUGGUCGGGGUGCCUCGAUUAGUGAGGCUGAGAGUAUACCCGUUGAACCUGAUCCGGUUUGUUCCGGCGUAGGAAAUCGAGAUCAUCGAAUG